CCUACGGGCGGCUGCAGUGAGGAAUAUUGGUCAAUGGAGGAAACUCUGAACCAGCAAUGCCGCGUGCAGGAUGACGGCCUUCGGGUUGUAAACUGCUUUUAGGUGGGAGUAGCAAGGAGAGUACCACCUGAAUAAGUCACGGCUAACUACGUGCCAGCAGCCGCGGUAAUACGUAGGUGGCGAACGUUAUCCGGAAUUACUGGGCGUAAAGGGUCUGUAGGCGGUCUGGAAGGUCUGGCGUGACAGUUCUCGGCUUAACUGAGAGAGUGCGUUGGAAACCAAUAGACUAGAAUCACGUCGAGGUCGGUGGAAUUCCCGGUGUAGUGGUGGAAUGCGUAGAGAUCGGGAGGAACCCCUAAAGCGAAGGCAGCCGGCUAGACGAUGAUUGACGCUGAGGGACGAAAGCGUGGGGAGCGAACAGGCUUAGAUACCCGAGUAGUC
rnacentral:rRNA from 1 species